rnacentral:sRNA from 1 species
AUGUACCACGCGUAUACCGCGGUUUCUCAGCGCCGUCCGCACUGCUCGCUACAUGUUGUUAGCC